CAAUGGGCGCAAGCCUGAUCCAGCCAUUCCGCGUGAGUGAAGAAGGCCUUCGGGUUGUAAAGCUCUUUCGCAAGGGAAGAAAACUUAUCCUCUAACAUAGGAUGAGGUUGACGGUACCUUAUAAGAAGCACCGGCUAACUACGUGCCAGCAGCCGCGGUAAUACA
rnacentral:rRNA from 1 species